AAGUCGUAACAAGGUAACCGUAGGUGAACCUGCGGUUGGAUCAUUAUUGAAAUCCAAAACUUUCGAGGGGUAGAUAGAAGAACAAUGAGAUUAAUUUCAUUGGCUUUUCUUGAUACCACUCAAAACCCCAAAAAACCUUUACCACUUUUUUUAAGGUUUUUUCCCCUUUAAACGGGAAAUGCCUUUCAAAAAGUGAGUGAACUUUUUUCUUUUCUGUGUUUGUUUCUGUUCUCUUGAGGAUGUAGGGCUGUAAAGCUUGAAACCCUGAAGAAAUUAGAGGCAAAUCAGAAAAGGAUAAACCUAGAAUUAAACUUUUGUUUUUACUGUUUAUAUUUUUUCCAAUACUUUUGCGAGUAUUUAAAAAAAGAAAAAACAACUUUUGACAAUGGAUCUCUAGGCUCUC
rnacentral:misc_RNA from 1 species